rnacentral:rRNA from 1 species
GAUCCUGGCUCAGGAUGAACGCUAGCUACAGGCUUAACACAUGCAAGUCGAGGGGCAUCAGUUUGGUUUGCUUGCAAACCAAAGCUGGCGACCGGCGCACGGGUGAGUAACACGUAUCCAACCUGCCUCAUACUCGGGGAUAGCCUUUCGAAAGAAAGAUUAAUAUCCGAUAGCAUAUAUUUCCCGCAUGGGUUUUAUUAUUAAAGAAAUUCGGUAUGAGAUGGGGAGUGCGUUCCAUAGUUUGUUGGGGGG